UACGUAGGGGGCUAGCGUUGUCCGGAUUUAUUGGGCGUAAAGAGCGUGUAGGCGGCCAGGUAGGUCUGGUGUGAAAACUCGAGGCUUAACCUCGAGAUGUCAUCGGAAACCAUCUGGCUAGAGUCCGGAAGAGGAGAGUGGAAUUCCUGGUGUAGCGGUGAAAUGCGCAGAUAUCGGGAAGAACACCCGUGGCGAAGGCGGUUCUCUGGGACGGUACUGACGCUGAGACGCGAAAGCGUGGGGAGCGAACAGGG
rnacentral:rRNA from 1 species